UACGAAGGGGGCUAGCGUUGUUCGGAAUUACUGGGCGUAAAGCGUGCGCAGGCGGCUUCUCAAGUCAGGGGUGAAAGCCCAGAGCUUAACUCUGGAAUUGCCUUUGAGACUGAGAGGCUUGAGUACGGGAGAGGUGAGUGGAAUUCCCAGUGUAGAGGUGAAAUUCGUAGAUAUUGGGAAGAACACCGGUGGCGAAGGCGGCUCACUGGCCCGUAACUGACGCUCAUGCACGACCGCGUGGGGAUCAAACAGG
rnacentral:rRNA from 1 species